UGAGUAUUCAAAUAUCUGCC
rnacentral:siRNA from 1 species